UACGGAGGGUGCAAACGUUGCUCGGAAUCAUUGGGCGUAAAGCGCACGUAGGCGGGCCAUCAAGUCGGUUGUGAAAUCCCUCGGCUUAACCGAGGACGUGCAUUCGAAACUGAUGGCCUUGAGUACGAAAGAGGAUCGCGGAAUUCCCGGUGUAGAGGUGAAAUUCGUAGAUAUCGGGAGGAACACCAGUGGCGAAGGCGGCGAUCUGGGUCGAUACUGACGCUGAGGUGCGAAAGCAUGGGGAGCGAACAGG
rnacentral:rRNA from 1 species